rnacentral:ncRNA from 1 species
ACCAAGGAGUCUAGCACGCGCGCGAGUCGGCGGCUCUCGCGAAAGCCCGCGGCGCAAUGAAGGUGAGGGCCGGCGCGCGCCGGCUGAGGUGGGAUCCCGGGGCGCUCGCGUCACACGCCGGGCCCCGGGCGCACCACCGGCCCGUCUCGCCCGCGCCGUCGGGGAGGUGGAGCGUGAGCGCGCGUGCUAGGACCCGAAAGAUGGU